CUGUCAUGCUUAAUAAAGUAUUUGACGAGAAGAUCUGCUCUUUAAACGACUGUAUACGUUCUCAGAUGGACCUUCUGGUUUACCAGUUGGACAGGAACAAAGUCCAAGUCCAAGUACCUGGAGUGGUCAAUCUCUCAAAACACUUCACUGGAUCUUUCCUGUGUGCCCUCGUAACAUAUUUCAUAUUGGUUACCCAAGUAGCAGUUGAUGUGAAGGAGAAAUAAACAUUGGCAAACUUUGAACACAAACAGAGAGUUCAAGUCAACAGCUCUCUGGAAACUAUCAACUUCAACAUGAAGAGAAAUGUUCAUUCAAUUAAUUUAGUUGCUAGCAUUGUACUUUAAAUAGGCGUA